UACGUAGGGGGCUAGCGUUGUCCGGAUUUAUUGGGCGUAAAGAGCGUGUAGGCGGCUUGGCAAGUCUGCUGUGAAAACUCGAGGCUCAACCUCGAGCUGUCGGUGGAAACUGCUUGGCUAGAGUCCGGAAGAGGAGAGUGGAAUUCCUGGUGUAGCGGUGAAAUGCGCAGAUAUCAGGAAGAACACCUAUGGCGAAGGCAGCUCUCUGGGACGGAACUGACGCUGAGGCGCGAAAGCGUGGGGAGCAAACAGG
rnacentral:rRNA from 1 species